rnacentral:rRNA from 1 species
AACGAACGCUGGCGGCGUGCCUAACACAUGCAAGUCGAACGAGAAGUACGUAGCAAUACGUAUUGUAAAGUGGCGAACGGGUGAGUAACACGUGGGUAACCUGCCCUCGAGCUUGGGAUAACCCCGCGAAAGCGGGGCUAAUACCGGAUAAGACCACGAGGACCAAAGUCCCUGGGGUAAAAGAUGGCCUCUAUUUAUAAGCUGUCACUUGAGGAUGGGCCCGCGGCCCAUUAGCUAGUUGGUGGGGUAACGGCUCACCAAGGCGAUGAUGGGUAGCUGGUCUGAGAGGACGAUCAGCCACACUGGAACUGAGACACGGUCCAGACUCCUACGGGAGGCAGCAGUGGGGAAUAUUGCGCAAUGGGCGAAAGCCUGACGCAGCAACGCCGCGUGGGGGAUGAAGGUUCUCGGAUUGUAAACCCCUUUCGACCGGAACGAAUCCCCUCCUGGUAAACAAUCAGGAGGGUCGACGGUACCGGGAGAAGAAGCCACGGCUAACUCUGUGCCAGCCGCCGCCGUAAGAC